rnacentral:rRNA from 1 species
UACCAGCACCCCGAGUGGUCGGGACGAUUAUUGGGCCUAAAGCAUCCGUAGCCGGUCAUGCAAGUCUUCCGUUAAAUCCAGCCGCUCAACGGUUGGGCUGCGGAGGAUACUACGUGGCUAGGAGGCGGGAGAGGCAAGCGGUACUCAGUGGGUAGGGGUAAAAUCCUUUGAUCCAUUGAAGACCACCAGUGGCGAAGGCGGCUUGCCAGAACGCGCUCGACGGUGAGGGAUGAAAGCUGGGGGGAGCGAACAGG